AUAUCUCCCCACCUCCUCUUAAGGACUCAGCUCGUCUGUCUUUUUGGGGGAAGGCCUGAAAAGAAUGCUGAAAACAAGUGACCUGGCUGGAAUCUACCACCACGCUACUUCUCUGCUCCAGGACCUUCCAUGGCUCCCACUGGCUCACAGGCAAAAGAAGAGAUGAAGCACACAUUGCAAACACGCUUUGAUCCCUGCAGUGAGAUGAGCGUCAUGAUCAUGCAUGCUUCUCUUCUCCCUUCUCCGGGCCUUUUGAAGUCUACACUCUCCGCUGUGGGAUGGUCUCCUGCCCUACCAGGAGAGCUGGUCUCCACACCGACUUCAAAGACAGCUGAUGUUCCAGAGAAGAAAAACACUGCAAAGAAGCACUCCAAAAUCCUUUUGACCUCAAACAUGACUACAGAAUGGA
rnacentral:lncRNA from 1 species